AGAUUGAACGCUGGCGGCAUGCCUUACACAUGCAAGUCGAACGGUAACGCGGGGCAACCGGGCGACGAGUGGCGAACGGGUGAGUAAUGCAUCGGAACGUGCCCAGUAGUGGGGGAUAGCCCGGCGAAAGCCGGAUUAAUACCGCAUACGACCUACGGGUGAAAGCGGGGGACUCGCAAGAGCCUCGCGCUAUUGGAGCGGCCGAUGUCAGAUUAGCUAGUUGGUGGGUAAAAGCCUACCAAGCGACGAUCUGUAGCUGGUCUGAGAGGACGACCAGCCACACUGGGACUGAGACACGGCCCAGACUCCUACGGGAGGCAGGCAGUGGGGAAUUUGGACAAGUGGGACGCAAGCCUGACUCCAGCCAGUGCCGCGUGCGGAAGA
rnacentral:rRNA from 1 species